rnacentral:rRNA from 1 species
UACGUAGGUGACAAGCGUUGUCCGGAUUUACUGGGCGUAAAGAGCGCGCAGGCGGUCGAUCAAGUCGAGUGUGAAAGCCCCCGGCUCAACUGGGGAGGGUCAUCGAUACUGAUCGACUCGAAGGCAGGAGAGGGUAGUGGAAUUCCCGGUGUAGUGGUGAAAUGCGUAGAUAUCGGGAGGAACACCAGUGGCGAAGGCGACUACCUGGCCUGUUCUUGACGCUGAGGCGCGAAAGCUAGGGGAGCAAACAGGG